GAUUUCUGAGUUCAGGGACAGCCAGGGCCACACAGAGAAAAACCCUGUCUUGAAAAACCAACACCCCCCCCUCAAAAAAAAAAACCAUAAAUUGCCAUUCACAAAUGAAACCCUUAAUUGGCUUCAUUUGAGGGUUGUUGUUCUCUGAAUGAAAUGGAAAAACCUCAUGGAGCCUAAAAAGUUCUCACUUCUGACUCUGAGUGUCUUUGCCCUCUAUCCCAGUAGGGUUGGCCCUCCUGUUUUUCCUGGAACACCCAAAGUGUGUCCUUAUUUUAUAAUUGUAACCAUAGCCUAUCUAUUUGUCUAAAAUGUUCUCUGAAUAUCUAUUUGGUUCACACCUUCUGGACAUAGUUAAAAUGUCACUUUUCUAGCAAGUUCUUGCCGAUGGGCUUUUUUAAAAAGGAAUCCCGGUUUCUUCUGGAACUGCAGAUUGUUUUACUUUGCAUUUUUCUCAAAGGAGUGGCAUUAUAUGUCUUUGUUUUGCCCACUAAAAUAUAAAAUUCAUCCCAGUAAUUUCCUCCCCCAGUAGUAAUUUUUAAAAUUGCUUUGCUUUAAGAGGUAUGUGACAUAUAUCCAGUAGAUAUUUAAAUUAAUAUGUUCUUAACAAGACAUAUACAAAGAAAUUUUAGCACAUUCGGGUAAAUUUCCAAAUCAGUUGGAUUUAUUUCAAUGGGAAAUGCAGAUGUUUUUGUUCAUGUAAAAUGGAUUUGUUUUGGGGAAUAUAUUACAAGGUUUUGGCUGUGUAUACUGUGCGUGUACAUUUUGGCUUUAUGUUGCUUGAGCAUAGAGGCUAAUCAGACUCACAUGGCUUCCCAUAGAAUUUCUGAUGAGUAAAAUAACAGUAAAUACACUUGUUUUAGGCUUUGGGGUUUAGGAUCUAUUUCCUUCUGUCUAGAAUUCUUUUAUUGUGCAUUUGUAUUCUAAUGUGCUGUUUUAAUUUGGUGAAUACUGGUAUAGGUCAUCACAUUAGGGCUUAUAUGACUUAAUUUAGAGUUAAAAGGUGGAACGCUUGAUGGGAGUGGAUUGAUGUAAGUAAGAUUGGAUCAAAUUAAAUAGGACUGAUCUCUCUUGCUGCUGAAUAGCUGUAUUCACAUUUAAACAGGACUGUAGUUGCUGUGGCACGACAUGAAGUUUGCUGAGUCUUUAACAAAUAUGAAAACUGUCUUCCUGGUACUGUGUUACUGCCUUGCUCAAGGCAGAGGGACUAGCCCUCUGGAGGCCAUUACUAAUAAUAUUGUUUGGAACCUAAAUUUUAAGCCAUUAGAGGACCUUGAUCAUCUUAGAAUUUUUUAUGAUACAUGGAAUAGCUAAAACCAUUUGAAAGGUGCAUGUUAAGAAUAGCAAAUUAAUGCUUCUGUCCUUCAGCCUCCCCUCCCCUCUUCUCUACUUCCGGGAAACCUUACCCUUUGUAACAUUUCAGAUAGCCCUUGGGUUUGGAAGUACCCACAAAUACAUUUUUAAAAGCAUACCAUUUAUUCUGCCAUGCAUCUUUAAAGUUUGUUUGCUCAGUAGUGUCUUUCAUCUAUCUUUACCUGCUUAUUAUAGAUUUUUUUUUUUUCUGUUUGUUUUUCGAGACAGGGUUUCUCUGUAGCCCUGGCUGCCCUGGAACUCACUCUGUAGACCAGGCUGGCCUCAGAAAUCCGUCUGCCUCUGCCACGCCCAGCAGAUUUAUUUUUUUAAGCUUUGCUUAGUUCUCCAUUUUAAGAAUAUACCCUGUAUCCAGGAGGUGCACAAAAUGCCUUUAAUCCCAGUACUCAGGAGGCAGAGGCAAGAAAAUCUCUUGAGUUUUUGAGGCCAGCCUGGCCUACAGAGUGAGUUCAGGACAGUCAGGACAAAACAACAACAAAGAAGAAUAUACCCUGAUUAAAGGAUGGGUACUGGACCAUAUUAUACUCGUUGGCUGUAGAUUCUCAUUUGGGUAGAUACAAAUGGUAAAAUACUGAUACCAGGAUUUCAGCUGUUUUAAACCCCCAGAGUGGUUUUUUGUUUUGUUGUUGUUUUUGUUUUGUUUUUAAUAAUUAACUAAUUGGUGUUUUGUGAGUAUGUGUGCUAGAUUCCUUGGAACUGGAGUUAUAGACAGUUGUAAGCUGCUGUGUGGGUGUUGGGAAUUGAGUAUAGGUCUGGAAAAGCAUAUCCACCGUGCCAUCUCUCCAGCCCCUGCCCUCAGAGUUUUACAUAGUCCUUGUGCCAUUGACUGGCAGUACACUGGCUGCUAGUUAGGACUCUGCUUGCUUGCCUAGUCUUCCAAACCCCUACAUCUUUUCCCCCUGCUCUCCAUCCCUGCUAUCUUAGAUGGAGGGGUUUCUGUCACAGACCAUGCUUUUCAAUUCUUCUGUGAAAAUACUCUUGCUGAAAUUAAAAUGUUACAUAAAAACAGACAUGUAUUUAACAUACCUUUUUUUAAUGUAUGGACUUGUCUGUGGAGGUGUAUGUGAGUAAGGGUGGUGCUCUUGGUAUUGUGACUGCCUGACGUGCUGGGAACUGAGUGAGUCUUCUGACAGAGAAGCAAAUUCUCUGAACCCCAGAGCCAUUUCUUUACCACCCCCACCCCCCAAUGUAACCUUUGUAAAAUUAGGCUCUAUAAAAGGUAGGCUAUUUUGUGCUUAAUACUAUGCUGUUAUUUGUCAAGUAUAAUGUAUCUUGUUGCUAGUAAGUUUUUUGACAUAGGGUCUUGAACUCCCUCUCUAGGUGAGGAUGCCUUGAGGUUUUGAGGCCUUAUGCCUCCACCUCCCGAGCUGCCAAAUAGGACUCCACUUUUAAAAAUCAAGCACUGGAUUUUGGGUUUGCCAAGAAUGUGUUCUCCCACUGAGCUACUUUCCCAGGUCAAUAAUGAUUUUUCUUUUUUGAAGUAAGUAGAGUAGAAUUAAUGCCAGACAGUUU
rnacentral:lncRNA from 1 species